ensembl:lncRNA
AGAACUGCUAUAACACUCAUGGAUCCGAGACCAGUGUUUUAUUUAGCACAAGAUCAGUGAUGGACGGACAGACUCCAGCAAGACAGAUGGGCAGAUGUGGCUUCACAGCAGAUGAAUUCAUCUGAUGAACCUGUCCACAGCAGCAUUUGUCUACAUUGACUAUAGGCUCUGCCUUGUAACAAAUUUGUUUGCACCAGAAAUGCAGCCUUUGACUUCAACAGGAAAAAAAUGGAGAGCAUCCUCCACUGUUAAAGCUAUAUUUUCACCAACCAAAAAAAGAGGAUUUUACAGAGCAAGCUGGCCAGCAAAGUGAGGUUGAAGGAGACAAAUGAGGAGAUUCGCAGCCCACCUGAAGCCCUGGAGAACGCUGCCCGAGCAGGCAUGCCAGCGGAGGCCCCUACUAAUUAUCAGGCCUCCUCAUGACUGACAUCUGCCUCCUACCCCUCUAUUAGGACAUCACCAGCAGCUUGAAGGGGGGAAAAAAAACAUGGAGAACCCACACAACAACGAGGGCUACAUGCUAUCAAGGUGCCUAAACAGGUGAUUAAGUCUACAUUUUCUGGCCUCCUGAUGUGAGAAGUAAUACUGAUGUCGACUCUGGAGAAUGGAGGCAUGGUGAAGGUUCCUCUGGUGAGCGCCUGCCCUUUGGUGACCUUGUCCAUCUGAGGCAUCUGCGGCUCAGUGGAGCGUUUCCUGGCCGUCUCAUGCUCUAUCAGUCCCAAUGAAGGAACACAGCACCAGACCGGACCCGCAUGGCAAUAAGGGGUGCUGGAGUCAACCCGAUCCGACAGCCUAGCUCACCCCUCUGGUCUAAGGGUCAACGCUGGGGUCAUUCAGCACCUAGAGUCACCCUGGGUAAUUCUGGAUGCACUCAUGAUAUGAAGACUCCCUUGAUGUCCUUUCGAUUGGCAUUAUAUGCAAGGACAGGUUUAAUCAAAAGUGCAGGGAACAGGAGUCAUUCUGCCCUCGGUUCCUGCUGAAGACAGCCAUCAGACACAACAGGGUGAUGCUGGGUACAGUUGCCAUGGAAAUCCAAGUUCGUAGACCACAUGCCACAAGGUUCAGUGGCUCAAAAAAUCUCAAAUGAACUGAUGCAACAAUCUGCACACAAUUAACUCUCGCACUGCUUUUUCAGCUGUUUGCUUUGUAAAUGAAUGCCUUCUAUUUCAGUUCUGUUCCCCCUAGUUUACUAUAUACUUUUCUAAACUGCUAUUCUUGAGGCAUACAGCUGCAUUUUAUGUUACUGUACACUAAAUCUUGGUUAUAUACAGAUGUUAUUUUCACUGAGGUAUCAGUGUUCGGCUGAUGAGCUGGUAUGUAGAUGUCCACAGCCAAUUCAUGAAGUAGCCAAGCAUUCUUACAAUAUUAAAUAUUUUGCCCAGUAAACAUAUAAAUCAUUAUUUCUUUACACUUUAGUAGACGACUUAUAUUUGAUGUCACAGCUCAGGAUAGAUGCUAGUGAAGGGCUUGGGAUGAGACUGAGAUAAAUGGGAAUGUUAUACUGUAGAUAUACAGUAUAGAGGUUUUAUUACAGAAGUUGUUGUCCUCUGUGCACAGUUGUGCAAAUAUGUCAAACUCUGAACCCUAGUGGUGGACUGUGAUAAAGGCGUCAAUGUUUGAGAAGAGGGAUGGUUCACUUUCACUGCUGUAAAAUGUUAUGUAAUUUAAAGCACUUUGAUUGAUCGAUUGACUACGACUAAUUGCUCUAAAAGACAAACCUUGAGACUGUGUAGCUUUCGGUGAUCAUUUGUGCUUUUUGAUUUGUUUGAUGUUUUUUCCUCAAACUCCAUGCAAUAUUUUUGCACAGUGAGGUCAGGCCCUAAUUAUUAGAGUGAAUAAAUGUUAUGGUGACCAGAUAAAAAAAAAAA